rnacentral:rRNA from 1 species
UACGGGGGGGGCAAGCGUUGUUCGGAAUUACUGGGCGUAAAGGGCUUGUAGGUGGCCAACUAAGUCAGACGUGAAAUCCCUCGGCUUAACCGGGGAACUGCGUCUGAUACUGGAUGGCUUGAGUGUGGGAGAGGGAUGCGGAAUUCCAGGUGUAGCGGUGAAAUGCGUAGAUAUCUGGAGGAACACCGGUGGCGAAGGCGGCAUCCUGGACCAUUACUGACACUGAAAAGCGAAAGCCAGGGGAGCAAACGGG